GACCUGACUGCUAUCGGAUUGGUACUAAGCCAUGCGAGUCGUUGUGCAGUACAGGCGGACUGCUCAGUAACACGUAGUUAACUUAACCUAUGGAUGGGCAUAACCUCGGGAAACUGAGAAUAAUACCCAAUGGACCACAGUGCCUGGAAUGGCCUGUGGUUGAAAUGAUUUAUCGCCGUAGGAUAGGACUGCGGCCUAUCAGCUUGUUGGUGAGGUAAUGGCCCACCAAGGCUAUAACAGGUACGGGCUCUGAGAGGAGGGGCCCGGAGAUGGGUACUGAGACACGGACCCAGGCCCUAUGGGGCGCAGCAGGCGAGAAACCUUUGCAAUGUGCGAAAGCACGACAAGGUUAAUCCGAGUGUCUCCUGCUAAAGGAGUCUUUUGUCAGUUGUAGAAUCACUGGUGAAUAAGGGAUGGGCAAGUUCUGGUGUCAGCCGCCGCGGUAAAACCAGCACCUCGAGUGGUCAGGAGGUUUAUUGGGCCUACAGCAUCCGUAGCCGGUUGCAUAAGUUUUCGGUUAAAUCUAUGCGCUUAACGUAUAGGCCGCCGAAAAUACUGUGCAGCUAGGGAGUGGGAGAGGUACACGGUACUC
rnacentral:rRNA from 1 species